rnacentral:lncRNA from 1 species
GGAAAGAGAUGAAUGAGCAUGAAUGAAUGGAAAGAGGUUUAGUUGGAAAGUGUGAGGGAUCCUGAAUGAUUGUGAUGAAAGACAAGAGUUUGUGGGAAACGUGUAGAAGUUGUAUGGUGAGUCUGAAAGGUGAAAGCAGAAGGAAGAGAUAAAUAAAUGUAUAUAAGUUGAAAAAUGGACCUUGAAAAUAGAGCAGAAUAGCAGAAAUGAUAGAGACAUUUUUCAUGCAAUUCCAGGCCAUUUUGUUAUCAAGGUGGAGCCACCAAACAACACCUUAUUACGUACAAAGACAUGUAAAAGCAAUAUGAGGAUCUUUGUAUCACAGUUUAGGAAACUAUUACCACUAUUUGAAAAUGAAAACACACACCUCUAUUUAUUCUACACAAUUAACUCAACCAAUUCAACUACAAUCCUUUAUACAUUUUUAUAGAUUUUAUUUUUAAUUGAUGAAGGGAUCAUAUAUCAGAAUUGAAGAAAGUCGACUGUCUAAAUUUUAAUAAUAAUAACUUUUAUAUCAUAUGGCCU